AGUCGAGCGCGCCUUUCGGGGUGAGCGGCGGACGGGUUAGUAACGCGUGGGAAUAUACCCUUUGGUACGGAAUAGCCUCUGGAAACGGAGAGUAAUACCGUAUGUGCCCUUCGGGGGAAAGAUUUAUCGCCAAAGGAUUAGCCCGCGUUAGAUUAGGUAGUUGGUGGGGUAAUGGCCUACCAAGCCUACGAUCUAUAGCUGGUUUUAGAGGAUGAUCAGCAACACUGGGACUGAGACACGGCCCAGACUCCUACGGGAGGCAGCAGUGGGGAAUCUUGGACAAUGGGGGCAACCCUGAUCCAGCCAUGCCGCGUGAGUGAUGAAGGCCUUAGGGUCGUAAAGCUCUUUCGCCUGUGAAGAUAAUGACGGUAGCAGGUAAAGAAACCCCGGCUAACUCCGUGCCAGCAGCCGCGGUAAUACGGAGGGGGUUAGCGUUGUUCGGAAUUACUGGGCGUAAAGCGCACGUAGGCGGACUGGAAAGUUGGGGGUGAAAUCCCAGGGCUCAACCCUGGAACUGCCUCCAAAACUAUCAGUCUAGAGUUCGAGAGAGGUGAGUGGAAUUCC
rnacentral:rRNA from 1 species